rnacentral:rRNA from 1 species
CAGCGACCCGGAUCUCUUGCGCUCUCGCAUCGAUGAAAGAUCGCAGCGAAACGCGAUUAAGUAAUGUGAAUUGCAGAAUUCAGUGAAUCAUCGAAUCUUUGAACGCACCUUGCGCUCCUCGGUAUUCCGAGGAGCAUGCCUGUUUGAGUGUC